GCUUGCAAAUAUACUAUCAGUUUUGUGGCUUUGACAAUGUAUGCAAAGGGUGAUCGGGAGAGUUUGAAGUAUUGAUUGCUGGGUUCUGAAAGUGAUAUCGGUUCCUGGGGUCAUGAGUAUGUUAGGAAUUUGGCCGGUGAAAUUGCACAAGAGUAUUCAAAAAGAGUGAAUGAGGAAGCAAACGUGGAUGAUCUAAUAGAACUUGUGGAACACGCUCCCCACGAGUUGGUAAUAAUUGUGUUGAAUGAACCGGACAUCUUGACAACCGAGUAUGCAAUUAAGGGGAAGAUAAUUAGUCUAUGGAGGAUACCGGUGAAUAACAAUAAAAAUCGAACCUAUUGUAUCGAGAUGAUAUUUAUGGAUGAUACUUUUUGUAUGAUUUUAAUUAUGUAUUAAUCAUAAAUAGUUUUAAAUAUAAAGUAAAUUUCUCGAGCCCAGGAAGCAAUCCUGGGUGAUAA